rnacentral:rRNA from 1 species
AUGGACGGCCCGGGAUGCUUCGCGCCAACGGCAGGGAAUUUAAACUUAGCCGGACUGCUGUUGAUUCUUCAGUUGGGUCCUGACAUGGUGAUGCAGAAUCAACUAAACUUUCAUGUGCGGGUGAAGUCCAUUGAUGGAUUCCAAGGAGAAGAGGAUGAUAUAAUAAUACUAUCAACUGUUAGAUCCAAUGGGAGAGGAGUUGUUGGAUUUCUUGCUGAUAGCCGAAGAACAAAUGUUGCUCUUACUAGAGCAAGGCACUGUCUAUGGAUUGUUGGCAAUGCUCAUACGCUGUAUAAAAGUGGGACCGAAUGGACUGACCUUGUUGCUGAUGCAGAAAGACGUAAAUGUGUUUUCAGUGCCACUAAUGACGCGACCAUCUGUAGGUUGGUCUUGCAAGUAAAGCAAGAGCUUGAUGAACUUGAUGAUCGUCUGAAUGCCGAUUCAGUGGUUUUCAGCAAUACCAGAUGGAAGGUCAUUCUUAGCGAUGAGUUUAGGAAGUCUUUCACCAAACUAAAAUCACCACAGCUCAGGAGGGAAGUACUCCAAAAGCUUAUCAAACUUGGACGUGGUUGGAGGACAACAGUUAAGAACCUCGAUUUACCUGGUGUUUCUCAUCUUCCAAAAGUAUACAAGGUUAGGGACCUGUAUCUUGUAUGGAGUACUGACAUGGAGAAAACCGAAAGAAGGUACACGGAUGAUUACCUGGAUCACUGCAGGAGAGUGCAGACACAGGGGAAACUGGAGGUUCCUAAGAAUUCAAAAGUUAGUGAAAGCUUCUUGCUGAUGAAGUUCUACUCUUUAUCAUCUGGAAUGGCAAAGCAUUUGCUGACAGCUACUGAUGGGUCUGAAAUCAACAUCCCCUUUGAACUGAGUGAUGAAGAGCGGGUGGUAAUCCAAUUCCCGCUCACUAGUUUUAUACUUGGGAGGUCGGGCACCGGAAAAACUACUGUAUUGACAAUGAAACUGAUUCAAAAAGAGCAACUGUCAUUGAUUGCAUCCCAAGGUCUAAAUUUGGAUGGAGCUGAUUUGUCUGUGGUGGAUGACAAUAAUAUUAUGCCACUAAAGAAUGCAGGAGAAAGUUCUGUGAAACAAGUAUUUAUCACUGUGAGCCGAAAGUUAUGUUCAGCCGUAAAAGAUCACAUCUGCAGACUUAAAACCUGUGAACUAUCUGCUAGAGAUUCUACACCCAUACUGAAAGCAAUGUACGAGGCUACGAGCCUGGCUCAAGAAGGAAUACUCCAACAGGCUAUGCAUUCCCAAUGUUUGGCCUUGGAUUACUGUCAGCUACGAGAUGAAGUUCGGAGAAAGGAGCUAAAACUUGACUCACCAAGGAGCUGGAGUGGCUGGAGGUCGAGCUGGGCUGCUAGACGUCGACGGGGCGGAUCUCGACUGCGAGGGAGUCAGUCCAUGGUGAUGGAGUCGGCGCUGGACAGGUGGGAGGGAAUGGGGAAUGGUGGAGAGAGGGAGGAAGGAGGAAGGAGGAGAGGUACCUGGUCGCCGGAGGGGUCGGGGUCGGGGUCGGCGAAGGGGUCGCGGUCGGGAUCCGAGCUCUUCCGGGUCCUCGCUCGCCGCGGUCGAAGGAGAGCAGGGGCCGUUUCUCACAUUAAGGGCGCAUAUCAAGCGACAGGGCCUUAUACUGGCAAACUGGGAAGACAAGAUUAUGUGAUGCUCUCAGAUAAAAGAUUUUCAUCUCUGAACAAAGAGAAAAGAAAUAAAAUUUAUGAUAUAUUCCUUGAAUAUGAGAGUAUGAAAUGCACUGCCAGGGAGUUUGAUUUGUCAGAUUUUGUAAGUAGUCUUCACAGUAAUUUUGUAUCUGAUGGCUACAAUGGAGAUAUGGUGGAUUUUGUUUACAUAGAUGAGGUACAGGAUCUGACCAUGACACAAAUAGCACUUCUUAAGUAUGUCUGCAGGAACAUCAAGGAAGGCUUCCUUUUUGCUGGUGACACUGCACAGACUAUAGCAAGGGGUAUCGAUUUCAGGUUUGAUGAUAUCCGUUCACUUUUUUAUACUGCAUUCCUCACAGAAACUGAUGUGUUUAAUCAAGGACUUAAACAUGGGGUCCAUCUCUCUGAUAUGUUCCAAUUGUCUCAAAAUUUCCGCACACAUUGCGGCAUCCUCCGUAUGGCACAAAGUAUCAUGAGUCUUCUAUGUUCCUUUUUCCCAUCAAGUGUUGACCAGCUUAAUCCAGAGAUUGGACUUGUAUAUGGAGAAGCUCCUGUGCUGCUGGAGUCGGAUAACGAUGAAAAUGCAAUUAUGAGUAUUUUUGGAGAAAGCAAAAGUAAACGUGGUAAUCUGCAUGGCUUUGGUGCUGAGCAAGUCAUAUUAGUUCGUGAUGAUGGUACCAAAAAACAAAUUAUCGAUCUUAUUGGUAAACAAGCUCUUGUUUUGACUAUUGUUGAAUACUCUGAGGGGAUCUCUCACCCAGAUUUCGAUAGAAGCAAGCAUUAUCUACUCUGUUCAGAGCUGAAGCAACUCUAUGUUGCAAUCACAUGUACUAGGCAAAGACUGUGGAUAUGUGAAAAUACAGAGGAUUACUGUAGACCAAUGUUUGACUACUGGAAGAAGUUGUGUCUUGUAGAAGUUAGAUUACUUGAUUCUGCCCUCAUCCAGGCCAUGAAGACAGGGAGCAGCUGUGAUGAUUGGAGGCUACGGGGAACCAAGUUAUUCAAUGAGGGGCAAUUCGAGAUAGCUACUAUGUGUUUCGAAAAGGCUGGUGAUGCACACAGAGAGAAGUGGGCAAGAGCUGCUGGACUUGUAGCGAUUGCUGACCAUGCCAUCUCCACAAAUUUGGAGUUAGGCAAGGCUUCAUUGCAAACGGAAUCAGAGAUUUAUGAGGCCAUAGGAAUGCAUGAGAAAGCUGCUACGUGCUAUAUCAAAUUAGGCGACUACAAAAGAGCAGGUAUGGUCUACAUGCAAAAAUGUGGUACUUCUAGACUUGAGGAUGCUGGUGACUGUUUUGCUAGGGCUGAAUGCUGGUCCGAGGUAGCUGAAGUGUUCUUCAAAGCUAAAUGUUACACCAAGUGUUUCUCCAUGUGCUCAAAAGGAAAGCAAUUAUUCAAUCUGGGCUUGCAGUUUCUGCAACAGUUGGAGGAGGAACAUUCGCUCGAGAAUUCAAAAUCCCUGGAGAUUUCUGCAAUUAGAUCGAAGUAUCUGGAUAAUUGUGCUCAACAUUGUUUUCAAUGUGGAGACAUGAAGCGUAUGAUGCCUUUUGUCAAGGUUUUCAGCUCUAUGGAUAAUGUACAUGCAUUCUUAAAGUCUAGGAAUCUUCUUGACGAACUGUUUAGUUUAGAGAUGGAAAAUGGUAAUUUCAUUGAAGCUGCAGGAAUAGCAAGGCAUAAAGGAGAUGCCUUACUGGAGGUGAAAAUGCUUGAGAAGGUAGAUUUAUUUGAGGAUGCAACACGGCUUCUCCUCCUCCACAUCAUUGUAAAUUCCUUUUGGACUUUAAAUAACAAAGGGUGGCCUCCCAAAAGAAACCCAGAGAAGGAACAGUUGCUUGCAGAAGCCAAAGAGAUGGCGAAGAAGGUAUCUGAUUGCUUCUACUCCUUUGUUUGCCUGGAAGCUGAUGCACUAUCGGAUGUGAUUAAAUCUCUUCCUGAUUUAACUUGCACUUUGCUUGAGGGCAAAAAAUGUGGAAAUUUGUUUGUUGAAUAUAUUGCUUCCCGUUCGAUCAUUGAUGUUCAUCUUCAGUCUCGAACCUCUGGAUACAAUGUACAGAUAGGGCCAGGAUCUGAAGAUGAAAAUGUUAUGUAUGAAGAUCUUUUCGCCAAGUACUUUGGAUUGAGAAAAGAUGACGAAGGUGACAGAUAUGUGGUGCUUAACAUGAAUGCAAGUUGGCUUUCUAAUGCUGGCAGAAGUUCUUUGCAGCAAGAUGGCAACAGAUGUUUACUGGAUGCCCCUCAGUGUCAUUCGUGUGCUCAGUAUUUCUGGAUGAAUGAGCUGUCUUCUGUUGGUUUCAGUGUACUUAAGAAGUUGGAGUCAUUUGUUCAAAUUCCUCCAAAGCCAGAAUCUUUGUAUACCCUGGUGAGAACUAACGUUAUUAUAAAUGAGAUAGAAAAGUUUUUGGAAGAACCACAGUUCAGUGUGCCAAAAAUGAAGUUAAGAAGCUUCUUUGUUCUCUGCGAGCGUCGCUUCUUUGAGCUAUUUUUUCUUGCGUGGAGAGACGGGACGACGAGGAGCCUAUUGCAUAUACUUGACUCGCCAGCUGCAUAUGGAUUGAUUGCUGAUUCUCUUAGUGCACAUCUUCGGCGAACAGAUAAAAAUCUGACUCAUGGGCAUCUUGGGAGAACGACCAUGCUUCUGCUUCAUGCAGCACGACUGGAUGAUGCGCUACUUUCAAGACUACUACAUUACCUGGACAAUAAUUCUGAGUGGGCAGAUUGUUAUCAAUGUUUGAAGGGAUUUCUUGAUGCUGGUAUUUCAAGACCCCCCUUGAUAUUGAACUUUAAGCAUGCUCUUGAUUUUACCUUCAGUGGUGUGAUGCGGAGGGAUGAACUGGAGUAUAUAUCCCCAAUAUGCUAUGUGGGUCUGAUGGAGUGCCUUGGUUUCAUGGCUUCAUCAUACUUUCUACAGAAAGGUUGUAUAUACUGCACGAAGUCUCUGUUGGUCAAUAUGCUGGAGUGCCGUACUAGCAAGGUUUACCUUGAUACCUGCCUGACAUCUAAUCCGAGCCCAGAUUACCAUCUUGAUUGUUUGGCACGCUCAUCAAGGCGUUUCAUAUUUGAGACAAUUAUGGCUAUGUUGACAGACAAGGAUAUGCUCUUGCAGUGGGUACAGAAGACAUCAACUCCUAGUUCAUACUCUGAAGUCCUCCUGAGACUAGUGGUCACACUUUAUCCACUGAUCCUAACUCAGUGGAAUUGUUAUGAGGUCACAAAUACUCUUGUGCGAUGCGGAGUCUUUGAGGAUUUACCUUUGGAGUUCUCUCAGAAGAUGGUCCGUGUUUUGCAAAUAAAUCAUCGCACGCCGAUCAACUUCACAAGAGUGCUUGCUGAUGCACUGGACGCAGUUGGAGAUCCUAUGGUAGUUAUGGUGGGCUCACCCAAAGUCCCAGCAAUCUGUCAAAACAUAAAAGCCUAUAUGAUUAUUAAGGAGGAUUUGCAUGAUGUUCCGAAGAUAAUGGCUCUUCUUCGUUCUGAAGAGCCGAGUUGUGUAAAUCAAGAGGCUGCACUGCCAAAAAAAUCUGCUGGCAUCGAAAGCAUUCCUAAGGCUGUACAGGAUACUAAUAAGGCGAAGAGUACAAGUGAAAUAGAUUUAAGUGAUGAGAAUGCUCCCUUCUGGGAUGAGUUUCAGACGUUUCAGGUCAACAAGCAAGGCCAGGCGAGUUUCAUAUUCCAAGUUAUUCUAAAAGCUUCUUUUCUGCAGAAAGAUGCAAGGGUCACUAUUCAGUUCCUUAGAAGUGCCGUUCGAUGGCUGGAGCAAACAGGCUUUGAAGAAAAGAUUGAUGCACAAUUGUUGGAAGAGGCCAGGCACAUCUGCAGUCAGUUCGGAGAACGUUCUGCCAGGACGGAGAAGACAUCGUGUCUGACUCUGGAGGAUCUGUACUCAAUGUGGCAAGAUGGUGAGAAGAAACUGCAGAUGAUCAUCAGCUUCCUGUGUUCUGAAAGGGCGGCCGCGAAGGAAGGCGGCAGGAGGAACGAAGUCCAGUGGCAGGUUGAUGGGGCAGACGAAUGGACUGAAUGCUCAGACAGCGAGACCGAUGCCCAGUCGCAGACCGACGAAGCAGACGAAUGGACUGGGUGCUCAGGCAACGAGGCGGAAUGGGUGGAGGAGGAGGAAGCGGCGGCACAAAAGGCGGCUCGGGGGAGGAAGAGCAACAAGAAACCCAAAGAACCGCACAAAGGCCGUUUCAAGAACGUGAUCUCCAACGAGCCGGCAAUAGUGGUGUAG